rnacentral:tRNA from 1 species
GAGGGUAUAGCUCAGUGGUAGAGCCCAUGCUUAGCAUACACCAGGUCUUAGGUUCAAUUCCCAGUACCUCCC